GAUCAUGGCUCAGAAUGAACGCUGGCGGCAUGGAUUAGGCAUGCAAGUCGAACGUACUCCCUUCGGGGAGAAAGUGGCGAAAGGGUGAGUAACACGUGAGCAACCUGCCUCCGGAUCCGGAAUAAUCCAGGGAAACUUGGUCUAAAACCGAAUGAAGACAUUGGUCCGCAUGGUCUAAUGUUAAAAUAUUUAUAGUCCGGAGAGGGGCUCGCGGCCCAUUAGCUUGUUGGCGGGGUAAUGGCCCACCAAGGCUACGACGGGUAGGUGGUCUGAGAGGAUGGUCACCCACACUGGGACUGAGACACUGCCCAGACUCCUACGGGAGGCUGCAGUCGAGAAUCUUCCGCAAUGGGCGCAAGCCCUGACGGAGCGAUGCCGCGUGAGGGAUGAAGGCCUUCGGGUUGUAAACCUCUGUCAUCCGGGACGAAAACAAUGACGGUACCGGAAAAGGAAGCCACGGCUAACCACGUGCCAGCCGCGGC
rnacentral:rRNA from 1 species